rnacentral:rRNA from 1 species
GGCCUACGGGAGGCAGCAGUGGGGAAUAUUGCACAAUGGGGGAAACCCUGAUGCAGCGACGCCGCGUGAGUGAAGAAGUAUUUCGGUAUGUAAAGCUCUAUCAGCAGGGAAGAAAAUGACGGUACCUGACUAAGAAGCCCCGGCUAACUACGUGCCAGCAGCCGCGGUAAUACGUAGGGGGCAAGCGUUAUCCGGAUUUACUGGGUGUAAAGGGAGCGUAGACGGCAGAGCAAGUCUGAAGUGAGAGCCCGCGGCCCAACUGCGGGACUGCUUUGGAAACUGCCCGGCUAGA